AGAGCGAACGCUGGCGGCAUGCUUAACACAUGCAAGUCGCACGGUCAGCAAUGGCAGUGGCGGACGGGUGAGUAACGCGUAGGAAUCUAUCCAGAGGUGGGGGACAACAGUGGGAAACUACUGCUAAUACCGCAUGUUACCUGAGGGUUAAAGGUUGAUCGCAAGAUGGAUCGCCUUUGGAGGAGCCUGCGUCUGAUUAGCUUGUUGGUGGGGUAAAGGCCUACCAAGGCGACGAUCAGUAGCUGGUCUGAGAGGAUGAUCAGCCACAUUGGGACUGAGACACGGCCCAAACUCCUACGGGAGGCAGCAGUGGGGAAUAUUGGACAAUGGGCGCAAGCCUGAUCCAGCAAUGCCGCGUGUGUGAAGAAGGUCUUCGGAUUGUAAAGCACUUUUGGCAGGGACGAUGAUGACGGUACCUGCAGAAUAAGCCCCGGCUAACUUCGUGCCAGCAGCCGCGGUAA
rnacentral:rRNA from 1 species